rnacentral:rRNA from 1 species
GUCCACGCCGUAAACGAUGAAUACUAGGUGUGGGGGGACUGACCCCUUCCGUGCCGGAGUUAACACAAUAAGUAUUCCACCUGGGGAGUACGAUCGCAAGGUUGAAACUCAAAGGAAUUGACGGGGGCCCGCACAAGCAGUGGAUUAUGUGGUUUAAUUCGAAGCAACGCGAAGAACCUUACCAGGGCUUGACAUCCAACUAACGAAGCAGAGAUGCAUUAGGUGCCCUUCGGGGAAAGUUGAGACAGGUGGUGCAUGGUUGUCGU